CGAAAGUGUGAUAAGGGAAUCCUAAGUGCUCAUGCUUUGCAUGGGCUUUUGCCAAGAGUAAAUAUCUUGGUGAAUAAGUGGUGGGAAAGACAGGUGCCAGCAGCCGCGGUAAA
rnacentral:rRNA from 1 species